AACUAUCUAUUGGCAAUGUAAAAUACGAGAAAUGCUUACUAUCCAUUUGACGAUAUAAAAUACAAGAAAUGCAUACAAUCUAUUUGGCGAUAUAAAAUGAAAAAAAUGCGUACUAUCUAUUUGGCGAUACAAAAUAUAAGAAAUGCGUAAUGUCUAUUAAGAUGUGAGCGGAAGGAUUAUUCAUUGCUAUAAAUAAUGGUGGCGGAUGUAGUGUUUAC
rnacentral:lncRNA from 1 species